UACGAAGGGGGCUAGCGUUGUUCGGAAUUACUGGGCGUAAAGGGCGCGUAGGCGGUGUGUCAAGUCAGGCGUGAAAGCCCCGGGCUCAACCUGGGAACAGCGCUUGAGACUGGCACGCUCGAGUUCGGGAGAGGAUGGUGGAAUUCCCAGUGUAGAGGUGAAAUUCGUAGAUAUUGGGAAGAACACCGAUGGCGAAGGCAGCCAUCUGGACCGACACUGACGCUGAGGCACGAAGGCCAGGGGAGCAAACGGG
rnacentral:rRNA from 1 species